AUUGAACGCUAGCGGCAUGCCUUACACAUGCAAGUCGAACGGCAGCACGAACUUCGGUUUGGUGGCGAGUGGCGAACGGGUGAGUAAAGCAUCGGAACGUGCCUAGUAGUGGGGGAUAACUAUUCGAAAGAGUAGCUAAUACCGCAUACGAUCUAAGGAUGAAAGUGGGGGAUCUUCGGACCUCAUGCUAUUAGAGCGGCCGAUGUCAGAUUAGCUAGUUGGUGAGGUAAAAGCUCACCAAGGCGACGAUCUGUAGCUGGUCUGAGAGGACGACCAGCCACACUGGGACUGAGACACGGCCCAGACUCCUACGGGAGGCAGCAGUGGGGAAUUUUGGACAAUGGGCGAAAGCCUGAUCCAGCAAUGCCGCGUGUGUGAAGAAGGCCUUCGGGUUGUAAAGCACUUUUGUUCGGGAAGAAAAGGUUUGUGUUAAUACCAUAAGCUGAUGACGGUACCGAAAGAAUAAGCACCGGCUAACUUCGUGCCAGCCGCCGCAGUAA
rnacentral:rRNA from 1 species